UACGGAGGGUGCAAGCGUUAUCCGGAUUCACUGGGUUUAAAGGGUGCGUAGGCGGGCUUGUAAGUCAGUGGUGAAAGCCCGGAGCUCAACUCCGGAACUGCCAUUGAUACUGCAAGUCUUGAGUACACUUGAGGUGGGCGGAAUACAUCAUGUAGUGGUGAAAUACUUAGAUAUGAUGUAGAACACCGAUUGCGAAGGCAGCUCACUAAAUUGUAACUGACGCUGAGGCACGAAAGCGUGGGGAUCAAACAGG
rnacentral:rRNA from 1 species